UACGGGGGGGGCAAGCGUUGUUCGGAAUUACUGGGCGUAAAGGGCUCGUAGGUGGCUAACUAAGUCAGACGUGAAAUCCCUCGGCUUAACCGGGGAACUGCGUCUGAUACUGGAUGGCUUGAGUUUGGGAGAGGGACGCGGAAUUCCAGGUGUAGCGGUGAAAUGCGUAGAUAUCUGGAGGAACACCGGUGGCGAAGGCGGCGUCCUGGACCAACACUGACACUGAUGAGCGAAAGCCAGGGGAGCAAACGGG
rnacentral:rRNA from 1 species